AAACCUAGGGGGCAAACGUUGCUCGGAAUUACUGGGCGUAAAGGGUGUGUAGGUGGCUGAGUAAGUCAAAGAUGAAAUCCCUAGGCUCAACUUAGGAAUUGUCUUUGAAACUGCUCAGCUUGAGGAUAGUUGAGGAGAACGGAAUUCCCGGUGGAGCGGUGAAAUGCGUAGAUAUCGGGAGGAACACCAGAGGCGAAGGCGGUUCUCUGAGCUAUUCCUGACACUGAGACACGAAAGCUAGGGGAGCAAACGGGAUUAGAUACCCGAGUAGUCC
rnacentral:rRNA from 1 species